rnacentral:rRNA from 1 species
AACGAACGCUGGCGGCAUGCCUAACACAUGCAAGUCGAACGAGACCUUCGGGUCUAGUGGCGCACGGGUGCGUAACGCGUGGGAACCUGCCCUUAGGUUCGGAAUAACUCCCCGAAAGGGGUGCUAAUACCGGAUAAUGUCUUCGGACCAAAGAUUUAUCGCCUUUGGAUGGGCCCGCGUUGGAUUAGCUAGUUGGUAGGGUAAAAGCCUACCACGGCGACGAUACAUAGCUGGUCUGAGAGGAUGAUCAGCCACACUGGGACUGAGACACGGCCCAGACUCCUACAGGAGGCAGCAGUGGGGAAUAUUGGACAAUGGGCGAAAGCCUGAUCCAGCAAUGCCGCGUGAGUGAUGAAGGCCUUAGGGUUGUAAAGCUCUUUUACCCGGGAUGAUAAUGACAGUACCGGGAGAAUAAGCUCCGGCUAACUCCGUG